UACAGAGGUGGCAAGCGUUGUUCGGAAUUACUGGGCGUAAAGGGCGCGUAGGCGGCCUUCUAAGUCAGACGUGAAAUCCCCCGGCUUAACCUGGGAACUGCGUCUGAUACUGGGAGGCUUGAGUAUGGGAGAGGGAUGUAGAAUUCCAGGUGUAGCGGUGAAAUGCGUAGAUAUCUGGAGGAAUACCGGUGGCGAAGGCGGCAGUCCUGGACCAUUACUGACGCUGAGGCGCGAAAGCUAGGGGAGCAAACGGG
rnacentral:rRNA from 1 species